UGCAAUCAGCCGCCAGGCCUGACCCAGAGGUGGCUGCAUCAUAAUGUUGGGGUGGGGGAAGAAAUGAGGCAAACUGCCCAAAAUUGGGGAGGGGGGAUCUUCUGCUCCUCUUGAUCCGGGGGCCUUGAAUCCCCACUGCAAAUCCUCUGCUCGUUAGCAGCAAUCAACCGAUACAGCAAUUAACUCCCGCUUGGUCCCAUCCCCGCAGGUCUUUGGGCUCCUGGCUGGCAUCCUGUUUGCAUAUGAUGCCUAUAUUACAUUCCCCACCCUCCGGAAAACCCACACAGCUGCCCCCACUGAAUCCCCGGAGGGUGUCUGAGGAGUCGCAGGACCCCGGCCCCCGCUUUGCUGCCUUCGCCCCCCCCCCCCCUCCCACCUCGCUGGUUCUUGUACAUACUGCUGGGGGGGCGGCAAAGCAGAGAUCCCCCCCGCAACUAAUCUCCCUCCAGCUCCCCAUCCCCAAUUCCUGCCCUGACCUCAGGGCCCCACCCAUGUUUAGAAGCCUUGACAAUGGGGAUAGCAUGGGGGGAGCCACCCGCCCACCCCAGCAAUGCCACCCCCACCUUCCUAGGUUGGCUGGAGUGAGGAUGAGGGCAGUGGGGUCUAGUGGUUAGAACAGGUGUGGGCGAGGGGGGGAGGGUUGGGAGCCAGGACUCCUGGGUUCUAUCCCCAGCUCAGGGCGGGGAGCGGGGUCUAGUGGGCUCUGUCCCCUUAUCAAGUGCCUUUACUCUUUCUGUGCCUCGGUUUCCCCUGGGCUAACAGGGUGUUACAUUGCCAGCUGUUUAGGGCUGAAUGACCCAUGUGUUUACGUAGGGCCUACCAGAACCGGAGCCCAUGGGAUGUUUUCAAGGGAAAUAAAUUUUAAUAUAAGGA